rnacentral:rRNA from 1 species
UACGUAGGUGGCAAGCGUUGCUCGGAAUCAUUGGGCGUAAAGCGCACGUAGGCGGCUCCAAAAGUCGGAUGUGAAAUCCCUGGGCUCAACCGAGGAAGUGCAUCCGAAACUGCGGAGCUUGAGUAUGGAAGAGGGUCGCGGAAUUCCCGGUGUAGAGGUGAAAUUCGUAGAUAUCGUAAGGAAGACCAGUGGCGAAGGCGGGUCUCUGGACAGUUCCUGACGCUGAGGCACGAAGGCCAGGGGAGCAAACGGG